UUCUUGGCAAAAUGUAGAAAAAAACCCUCACAUAUAUGACCUUCUAAAGAAGAAUCUAGCACAAGAUGCCAGAAUAUCACAAAUCUUUACAGAAGAGUUUGAAAGACAGAGAAGAAUAGGGUUUCCAUCCCUCAGUUUGGAGAUAAACGGCGGCCCUCCUGUGGCUCACCGUGAUAAUAAAGGACGGUCGAAGAGACUGAAUGCUAGGUGUAGUCAGUCAGCUGUCGGCGAGAAAGAAACACCAGCUCCUUUGCCGCACCGUAUAAGACAGAGGGCCAGAACU